UUCUGAGAAUUGGAGUCACUCCUGCCCCUCCCCCAAUCAAUGGCAACCAAUGGAUACAAAGGCAUAAACAUUUUGUUAAGAACCGCUUCAACAUAAGCCCAUGCUGUGAGUUGAUUUACAUGACUGAUGUGCUUUAUGGAUGCAGCAGCCAGGGAUCGGGCAAAUUAUGCUCAGCCUCCCAUGCUUCUAUUUCCUGCCACUGGAGUACUAGCAGGUGUCAGCAGUGGUGACUGCAUCAAAACGGAAUACAACUGCAAGUUCCUGACAAGACAUCAGGGUCAACAGGCAGGUCAGUUGUCCCAGAAGACAAUUCAAUUGUACUAAAGCAACAAGCACACAAAAUACCAAACUGGCUUUUUUUUUUUUAAAUCCUGAUAGGUGGUAAUCAGUGAGCAAAAGAGCAUUGUAAUUACAGUGGUGCCUCACUAGACAGUUACCCCACAUGACAGUUUUUUUUGCUAGAUAUUGACUUUUUGCGAUCGCUAUAGCGAUUCUAUGGGGGAAUUUCGCUGGACAAUGUUUGGUCCCUGUUUUGCAAACCAAUUUUCGCUAGACAACGAUUUUGACAGCAAAACGGGUGUUUUCGGGACCUAAGCUUCGCAAGACAUCUAUUUAAACAGCUAAUCGGCAGUUUGCAAAGCUUCUUUCCUAUGGCCGAUCUUCGCUAGACGACGAUUCUUCCCCAUUGGAAGGCAUUAAACAGGUUUCAAUGCAUUCCAAUAGGGAAAUGCUUUUCGCUAGACAAUGAUUUCACUAAACAGCUAUUUCAGUGGAAGGCAUUAUCAUAGUCUAGCGAGGCACCACUGUAUUUUUUAAAGUAUUUAAACAAGAAAAACAUACAAAAUCUAGUAAAUGUAAAGGUUCCCCUUGACAUUUUUAGUCCAGUCGUGUCCGACUCUAGGGAGCGGUGCUCCUCCCAUUUUUAAACCGUAGAGCCAGCGCUUGUCCGAAGACAGUUUCAGUUGUCACGUGGCCAGCAUGACUAGGGAACUCCAUUUUACCUUCCCACUGAGGUGGUACCUAUUUAUCUACUCACAUUUGCAUGCUUUCGAACUGCUAGGUUGUCAAGGAGCUGGGACAAAGUGACGGGAACUCUGUUGUGUGGAUU
rnacentral:lncRNA from 1 species